CCAGCUGCCAGCUGCCAGCGAGCGAAAGAGCGACAUAGGCAGAGAAUGAGAGGAGCAUGAGCAAUUUUCAGUGCAACGCAACAACAUUUUGUAAUAACUCUUGCACAAAAGCAAAUUUGAUUUGUGCGCGCACUAAGAGAGAACGUUUACGCCAUUGCCGUUUGCCGUUUGCCGUUGCCUUUGCCUAUGCCUUUACUUUUCGCCCAGCAAAAGCAGCAGCAGCAUUAUCAGCGCUCUCUUAAGGUGUUGGGCUUUUCGAGUGCCGCGCACGCCGCGUUCAUUGACUAAGGUCUCGAAAUAGUGUUUAAAAUUAAAUCGAUGACUCAGACAGGUGACCGCGUCCGCUCACCCGCUCUAAAACCGACCGCCUCAUCGUUGUCUGGCCUGACUAAGUACUUUCCGAGUGGGUUUCGUCCCGUUCAGUUGAGCAGUUGAGUGCAUGCAUGCGUCGACGUCGACGUCGACGUCGACGUCUCGCUGAUUUCUUUGGACCAACGCGGCGUGGUGACAACAACGUCAGGCGGCAAAUUGCCGACUCUCGCAAUCGCUUGCUCACACACACACACACACACACACACACAUGCAAUUUUGGCAUGCGUUUGUGUUUGUGCGCUUGAAGUGCGAAGCAAGUCACGUACAUACUUCGAAAACAGAACACAGCAGCAGCAGCAGCAGCAGCAGUCGGCAACGCAAUGGGACAAAUCUAAAUGAGUGCAAGAGAGCAGCAGCAGCAGCAGCAGCGGUAGCAGCAGCAGCAGAAAGCAGCGUUGCCAAGUGAUUGCGAAAAAGUUCAAACUGCGAGCAGCGAAAACGUACAACAACAACAACAAUUAAACAGCUUGAGCAUAAUAAUAGUAUACUAUUAGAAAUGUAGUAUUUAAAUAGAUUAAUUAGAUGAGUAUGAAAAUAAAAACUAGCCUCUUCCAUUUUCUUAUUCACCCCAA